AGCCUUCUGUAUCCGUGUUGAGAUUUCGUCACACACUGGAUCACAAGGGUUGAUGAAACUCCCAAGUGAAGCG
rnacentral:pre_miRNA from 1 species